UGGGAAACCCUAUCUCCUUAAUACAAAAACUCAGAGCCAACCAACAUUCAUUACAUUUACAUCAGAGCUAGAACUCGCCCCUCCCACCUCCUUAUCUGAUGUCUCUACCAGCCUGUACUGUUGACUUCACCGUUCCAAACUUUACUCAUUAGCAGCUGAUUCUCCAUCACUCAGUGUCAGUCAGAUCUCAAAAUAAUCCCCCAAAUUCUAUGGACUUUUGAGUUUAUUUAGAAACAGACAAAAUGGUUUAUUUUCUCUUUUUCUGUUUCCUGUCAGGUGUGUGUCUGGGUGUUGAGGUCCAUCAGUCUCCCUCCGAGUUCAUCGUAAAACCUGGCGAUAACGUGCAGAUUUACUGCACCCAUGAUAAAACAGACUACAGGGUGAUUCUCUGGUACCAGCGGUCGCCUGGAGACACAGCUAUGAAGCUCAUUGGAUAUUUGAGCUACGACACUCCACAAAAAGAAGACCAGUUCAAAGAUAAUUUCAACAUCACUGGAAACUUGGGUGGAAAUGCAAAGAAGAAUGGCUCUCUAAGUAUCAGAGCUGCAGGAUCCCAGCAGAGUGCAGUUUACUACUGUGCAGCUAGCAAAGCACAUUGACAUAAAGUCCCUGUGGAACGUGACAAAAACUCACAACACACAUUUUUAUCAUCUGUGGGUUUAUUCAGACAGGC